AUCCACUUCAACUAGCCAAAUCAGCGAAAUUCGCCGCAGAUUUGUUUGCAUCUUGCAAAGAACACCUCAGAAUGAUUGCAGCGGACCCAACCAUCGUUAAGGAGUUAAAAAGGGUGUGCAUCGUCAUCCGUCUCUGCUACGCCUACGUGGACGACCUCAAAGAAAGCGACGAAUUUUACACUGCGUUUCCCAACUGCGUCAAAAAGCUCCUUGUAGGUAUGGAGACGACGUCUACA